rnacentral:rRNA from 1 species
AGUGAACGCUGGCGGUAGGCCUAACACAUGCAAGUCGAACGGCAGCACAGUAAGAGCUUGCUCUUACGGGUGGCGAGUGGCGGACGGGUGAGGAAUACAUCGGAAUCUACUUUUUCGUGGGGGAUAACGUAGGGAAACUUACGCUAAUACCGCAUACGACCUACGGGUGAAAGCAGGGGAUCUUCGGACCUUGCGCGAUUGAAUGAGCCGAUGUCGGAUUAGCUAGUUGGCGGGGUAAAGGCCCACCAAGGCGACGAUCCGUAGCUGGUCUGAGAGGAUGAUCAGCCACACUGGAACUGAGACACGGUCCAGACUCCUACGGGAGGCAGCAGUGGGGAAUAUUGGACAAUGGGCGCAAGCCUGAUCCAGCCAUACCGCGUGGGUGAAGAAGGCCUUCGGGUUGUAAAGCCCUUUUGUCGGGAAAGAAAAGCAGCAGGUUAAUACCCCGCUGUUCUGACGGUACCCAAAGAAUGAGCACCGGCUAACUUCGUG